rnacentral:lncRNA from 1 species
CACAAACCUCGUGUGAUUGCAGCAAUCUUUUCUGAAGGUUAAGCAUCAUUCUGAUUUCAUCUCCAUGGAUGCUACUCGGUGCAGGAUGGUCGCUCACACGCAGAAGAGGAGUGCGGAACCGAACAUGUUUUCAAUGUUAGAAUCACCAAUUUCCCCAAAAGAGGAUUAAAACACAGGAAGAUUACCAUCCAGUGAAAGCCUUUGCUGAAUUCUCCUCUCCACUCUCCUCUUAUUCCUCUAGGUCCCUUCUCCAUGCCCAGGGAAGCUGAUGUAUGAGGGAUAGCACCUGAUGCUCUUGGCAUCUGGCAUCUGUGGUUGAGCUCAGGUGCAGUCUUUUCUCAUAUGUGUAAUUUAGGGGAAAGGAUGUGACUGUAAAAG